AACGAACGCUGGCGGCGGGCCUCAUACAUGCAAGUCGCACGUGAAAGUCCGCAAGGAUGAGUAAAGUGGCGCACGGGUGCGUAACACGUGAAUAAUCUCCCCUUUUGGUUGGGAAUAACCUGUCGAAAGACGGGCUAAUACCGAAUAAGCUCUUCGAUUCGUAAAGCUUUGAAGAGGAAAGCAGGUUUAAAUAUGCGCCGAAAGAUGAGUUUGCGUCCCAUUAGCUAGUUGGUGAGGUAAUGGCUCACCAAGGCUACGAUGGGUAGCUGGUCUGAGAGGAUGAUCAGCCACACUGGAACUGAAACACGGUCCAGACUCCUACGGGAGGCAGCAGUAGGGAAUAUUGCGCAAUGGGGGAAACCCUGACGCAGCCACGCCGCGUGAGUGAAGAAGGCCUGG
rnacentral:rRNA from 1 species